AGUGAACGCUGGCGGCGUGCUUAACACAUGCAAGUCGAACGGAUGAAAUAAGCUUGCUUAUUUCGUUAGUGGCGCACGGGUGAGUAAUGUAUAGCUAACCUGCCCUUUAGUGGGGGACAACAGUUGGAAACGGCUGCUAAAACCCCAUACUCCGGUAUAAUAUAAGUUGUAUCGGGAAAGAUUUAUUGCUAAAGGAUGGGGCUGUAUUGUAUCAGCUAGUUGGUAGGGUAAUGGCCUACCAAGGCUAUGACGCAUACCUGGUCUGAGAGGAUGAUCAGGCACACUGGAACUGAGACACGGUCCAGACUCCUACGGGAGGCAGCAGUGGGGAAUAUUGCACAAUGGGGGAAACCCUGAUGCAGCAACGCCGCGUGGAGGAUGACGCAUUUCGGUGUGUAAACUCCUUUUAUAAGGGAAGAUAAUGACGGUACCUUAUGAAUAAGCACCGGCUAACUCCGUGCCAGCCGCCGCAGUAA
rnacentral:rRNA from 1 species